rnacentral:lncRNA from 1 species
UUGAAAAAGAAAAAAAUAAAAAAAAAGAGAAAUAAGAAAAAAAAGAGGAUUAGAAAGUUGGUUUGUCGUUUGUGAAAAGGGAAACGGUUUUUCUGAAAAAGGACAAGGCGUUUGGGGUGGUAGAGGUGGUAUUGCUUUUGGCAGGUGCGAUUUGGUUUUGGCAAGAAAAAAAGGACAUCAUGCUCGGAGGCUCCCCCAGGAUCAUUCAUUCACACACCCGUAACCAUGGACACCACGUUUGACAAGGAGUAUCAUCCUCCCUCAUCACACACAUUCCUUUGCUCUCCACCUCUCACAUUACUUACAAAAACGUUCCUGCAUUGAUUCGUAAAGGAGGGCUCAGCAAAAAAAAUUAUUCCUCCAUUCACACAAUAGUAUAACCCCCUUUCAAAGCCAAUUCUUCUAUCAUGCCCAACCACAAGAACAGACACCCCUUUUGUUCACUACCAGAUCCCAAUUCUUGAAACUCAUUCCCUCACUUCCUAAACUCCCUCUCCAUCACCCAUUAGGAUCAUCACCCUCAACCUGCAGUGAACCAAAUGAAAAAAGCCACCAAGAACAGAGACUGUCCUACUCACACCAGCAACCACAAUUCGUCAUCCAUUUAUUCCCCAUUC